rnacentral:rRNA from 1 species
UUAUUGGGCGUAAGCGCGCGCAGGUGGUUUCUUAAGUCUGAUGUGAAAGCCCACGGCUCAACCGUGGAGGGUCAUUGGAAACUGGGAGACUUGAGUGCAGAAGAGGAAAGUGGAAUUCCAUGUGUAGCGGUGAAAUGCGUAGAGAUAUGGAGGAACACCAGUGGCGAAGGCGACUUUCUGGUCUGUAACUGACACUGAGGCGCGAAAGCGUGGGGAGCAAACAGGAUUAGAUACCCUGGUAGUCCACGCCGUAAACGAUGAGUGCUAAGUGUUAGAGGGUUUCCGCCCUUUAGUGCUGAAGUUAACGCAUUAAGCACUCCGCCUGGGGAGUACGGCCGCAAGGCUGAAACUCAAAGGAAUUGACGGGGGCCCGCACAAGCGGUGGAGCAUGUGGUUUAAUUCAAAUCAACGCGAACAACCUUACCAGGUC